AUGCUUGCUUCAGCAGUAUAUAUACUAAAAUUGGAACAAUAUAGACAAGAUUAGCAUGGCCCCUGCAU
rnacentral:snRNA from 1 species